UACGAAGGGGGCUAGCGUUGUUCGGAAUUACUGGGCGUAAAGCGCACGUAGGCGGCUUCUUAAGUCGGUGGUGAAAUCCUGGAGCUCAACUCCAGAACUGCCUUCGAUACUGGGAGCUCGAGUCCGGGAGAGGUGAGUGGAACUGCGAGUGUAGAGGUGAAAUUCGUAGAUAUUCGCAAGAACACCAGUGGCGAAGGCGGCUCACUGGCCCCGGUACUGACGCUGAGGUGGCGAAAAGC
rnacentral:rRNA from 1 species